rnacentral:rRNA from 1 species
UGGGGAAUCUUCCGCAAUGGACGAAAGUCUGACGGAGCAACGCCGCGUGAGUGAUGACGGCCUUCGGGUUGUAAAGCUCUGUUAAUCGGGACGAAAGGCCUUCUUGCGAAUAGUUAGAAGGAUUGACGGUACCGGAAUAGAAAGCCACGGCUAACUACGUGCCAGCAGCCGCGGUAAUACGUAGGUGGCAAGCGUUGUCCGGAAUUAUUGGGCGUAAAGCGCGCGCAGGCGGAUUGGUCAGUCUGUCUUAAAAGUUCGGGGCUUAACCCCGUGAUGGGAUGGAAACUGCCAAUCUAGAGUAUCGGAGAGGAAAGUGGAAUUCCUAGUGUAGCGGUGAAAUGCGUAGAUAUUAGGAAGAACACCAGUGGCGAAGGCGACUUUCUGGACGAAAACUGACGCUGAGGCGUGAAAGCCAGGGGAGCGAACGGGAUUAGAUACCCCGGUAGUCCUGGCCGUAAACGAUGGGUACUAGGUGUAGGAGGUAUCGACCCCUUCUGUGCCGGAGUUAACGCAAUAAGUACCCCGCCUGGGGAGUACGACCGCAAGGUUG